rnacentral:misc_RNA from 1 species
UUACAAAUUAAUCCAAAAUUGACAAUUAUGAAAAACUAACUAAAUAACUAAUGAAAUUAGCUAAAAGUGACUAAUAAUCAAAUAAAAUGGCUAUGAAAUUAAACCUAAAUGAUUAUGCAAAAUGUAUGCAUCAAAUACCCCCAAACUCAAGCUUUUGCUUGUCCUCAAGCAAACUUUAAAAUGUGAUGCAAAAUUUUUAGGGGUGCCUUAUCCAAAGAGUUAUGAAAAUUACCUAUUAGAGUAACUUAACACACCUUUAGCCAUACCGGCAAUCCAUAUACCCAUCCUUCAAAAUGCAAAGAAUCUAAUGCUUAUCCAAGCUUUCACCGCUUAGCCAUCAAGUCAAUUAUCAUUCAAAAUCCCCAAACCAACCAAUCAAAAGAGAGGGUCAUGCUCAAAAGGAAUUCUAGAACAAUCAAUAGUCAAAGUGUCUCUAUAUGGAAUGAUGGAAUUGAAUGAAUGAAUGAAUAGUUUUCCAAUCCCAUAGGCAAAUUCCCUACUCCUAUCUCCACUAAUGUAGCAAGUACUAUCAAGAGAUCAAAGGUCUUUUAGGGAUGUAAUGGGGCUAUGGGGUUCAAAAUGAGGUUAAGAAGGAAAAGGGUAAAAAGGAUUCAAAGCAUGAGAAUAUUUUCAAUUUUUGACAACAUAAGGUACAUUUCUUAUUUUAUUUUAUAUUUUUCUCUUUUUUUUAUAUAUAUGGGGG